GCUAUGGUUUUGAGUUUUUAUUUUUGAAUUUACAUACCUUUGUAACGUGCCUUAACUACUUGCAAUUCCCACAAGUUGCAUCAGGCCUCCACCAACAGUAUUUCUCAGAAUGUGUGGUCUUCUUGCAAUGCAUACAAGGAGGAAAAUUUUAUGUUUUGAACCUUCACUGCUGUCAUCACCUUCAUUUUUGCCUUUGUUCUUCUGAUUGAAUUAUUUUUUGCCCUUACCAACUUGUUGCUUUUGCACAUGGAAAACACUUUCAA
rnacentral:lncRNA from 1 species